CAGCAAAGGUAGGAGUUGCCGACUAGGCCAGGAAUGGGGGCCAGUCCGAUGGCCUGAUGGUGAUCUCUUCCAAAUGGGAGCCCCAGAACACUGACAGACAUUUUUAGAGAUGGUUCAAGUUCAACAACUAUUCAUCGAAUGCCUACUGCGUUCCAGCCGCUGUGGGGGGCACUGUCUGGUGGGUAGAGUACUGGCCCUGGAGCCCGAGCACUUGGGCUGCGGGUACACACGCAGACCUUGCCACUUUUGAUGUCUUUGUGAGGAAACUGAAGUUCACAAGAGUGACAGAGUUAGCAAUUCCCAGACCUGAAACUGGAAACCAGAUCCUGUGUCCCUUCUACUCCCCAACAGCUCCUGCCAUUUGGAGAGUCAAGAAAUCGGGAAAUUUACAUAAGCAACUUUGAAACUGGGGCACUA